UGAGGAACAUGACCUUCGGCGGGGGAUAGCCGGCCCAACGGCCGGGUAAUACCGCGUACGACCACUUUGGGACAUCCCUAGGUGGUGAAAGCAGCAAUGCGCCGAUGGAGUGCCUCGCGGCCUAUCAGCUAGUUGGUGGGGUAAUGGCUCACCAAGGCGACGACGGGUAGCUGGUCUGAGAGGAUGGCCAGCCACAUUGGGACUGAGACACGGCCCAGACUCCUACGGGNGCAG
rnacentral:rRNA from 1 species